UACGGAGGGGGCUAGCGUUGUUCGGAAUUACUGGGCGUAAAGCGCGCGUAGGUGGCCUCAUAAGUCCGCUGUGAAAGUCAAAGGCUCAACCUUUGAAAGCCGGUGGAUACUGUGAGGCUAGAGUACGGAAGAGGCGAGUGGAAUUCCUGGUGUAGCGGUGGAAUGCGCAGAUAUCAGGAGGAACACCAAUAGCGAAGGCAGCUCGCUGGGACGUUACUGACACUGAGGCGCGAAAGCGUGGGGAGCGAACAGG
rnacentral:rRNA from 1 species